rnacentral:rRNA from 1 species
UACGUAGGGGGCAAGCGUUGUCCGGAUUCAUUGGGCGUAAAGAGCGUGUAGGCGGCCAGGUAGGUCGGUUGUGAAAACUGGAGGCUCAACCUUCAGACGUCGACCGAAACCAUCUGGCUAGAGUCCGGGAGAGGAGAGUGGAAUUCCUGGUGUAGCGGUGAAAUGCGCAGAUAUCAGGAAGAACACCCGUGGCGAAAGCGGCUCUCUGGAGCGGUACUGACGCUGAGACGCGAAAGCGUGGGGAGCGAACAGG